rnacentral:rRNA from 1 species
GACGAACGCUGGCGGCGUGCUUAACACAUGCAAGUCGAACGAAGUGGCGAACGGGUUAGUAACGCGUAAUCAACCUGCCCUUCAGAGGCGGACAACAGUUGGAAACGACUGCUAAUACCGCAUACUGAAGGAGGGGAUUGCGUCUGAUUAGCUAGGUGGAGGGGUAACGGCCCACAAAGGCGAAGAUAAGGAGACGGUCUGAGAGGAUGAACGGCCACAUUGGGAAUGGGACACGGCUCAGAAUCCUACGGGAGGCAGCAGUGGGGAAUCUUCCGCAAUGGACGAAAGUCUUACGGAGCAACGCCGCGGGAGUGAUGACGGCCUUCGGGUUGUAAAGCUCUGUUAAUCGGGACGCGUUACCGGAAUAGAAAGCCACGGCUAACUACGUGCCAGCAGCCGCGGUAAUAC